rnacentral:misc_RNA from 1 species
GUUUGCUUGUCCAUAUUGGGGACAAGCUCUUGCAGCUUCCUCAUUCUUUCGCUUAUUCGUGUUCUUCUUACCCUUUCGGCGAUGCUACGAGGAUGAGUGGCACAGCCUCUCUUUGCUCUGACUUUACAUGGUACUGAAUCUUGCAAGAGCUUCUCCAUGGCGGAUAACUCCGCUGAUGUUUGAGGUAAACUCAAAUGAGAUAAUAGAGUGGGAGGACGAGCUCGACCUUCACUACUCUGAUUAUCAGAUGCAUUUACAUUGGAGAAU